GGAAGCGUGCCCGAGCAAGGACUACACUGAUAGCGUAGAUACGGAGAAUAUCCUCCCGCUUCCC
rnacentral:tRNA from 1 species